CAAAGGCUUGGUCCUGACUUUACUGUCAGCUCUGACUAAAUUUACACAUGCAAGUAUCCGCACCCCUGUGAAAAUGCCCCACAGUUCCCUGCCCGGGAACAAGGAGCUGGUAUCAGGCACACCCUAACAUACAAGCCCAUGACACCUUGCUAAGCCACACCCUCAAGGGAGUUCAGCAGUGAUAAACAUUAAGCCAUGAGUGAAAACUCGACUUAGUUAAAGCCAAGAGGGUCGGUAAAUCUCGUGCCAGCCACCGCGGUUAUACGAGAGACCCAAGUUGACAGCUUCCGGCGUAAAGCGUGGUUAAGUUAAUCCUAAACUAAAGUAGAAUGCCCCCUCUCCCCCCUCCCCGCUGUCAUAAGCAUAUGAAGGUAAGAAGCUCAAAUACGAAAGUGACUUUAUGAUACUGAACCCACGAAAGCUGAGAUACAAACUGGGAUUAGAAACCCCACUAUGCUCAGCCAUAAACAUUGACAGUACACCACAUAUACUGUCCGCCCGGGAAUUACGAGCAUAAGCUUAAAACCCAAAGGACUUGGCGGUGCUUUAGAUCCACCUAGAGGAGCCUGUCCUAGAACCGAUAACCCCCGUUCAACCUCACCUUUCCUAGCCCCCCCCGCCUAUAUACCGCCGUCGUCAGCCUACCCUAUGAAGGAAGAAUAGUUAGCUAAAUUGGCAUAGCCCAAAACGCCAGGUCGAGGUGUAGCGCAUGGAAAGGGAAGAGAUGGGCUACAUUCUCUACAACAGAGUACACGAAUGGUCACACUGAAACACGUGCCUGAAGGAGGAUUUAGCAGUAAGCAGAUAACAGAGUGUUCCGCUGAAAUUGGCCCUGAAGCGCGCACACACCGCCCGUCACUCUCCCCUAGUACCGAACACAAUAAACAUAUACAAUUAUAAUACACAAGGGGAGGCAAGUCGUAACAUGGUAAGUGUACCGGAAGGUGCACUUGGACAAAC
rnacentral:ncRNA from 1 species